CCCUUAGAUGUUCUGGGCUGCACGCGCGCUACACUGACUACUUCAACGAGUUGUUUCCUUGAUCGAAAGGUCUGGGUAAUCUUUGAAAGGUAGUCGUGAUGGGGAUAGAUCCUUGCAAUUUUUGAUCUUCAACGAGGAAUUCCUAGUAAACGCAAGUCAUCAGCUUGCAUUGAUUACGUCCCUGCCCUUUGUACACACCGCCCGUCGCACCUACCGAUUGAAUGGUCCGGUGAAUCUUUAGGACUGUGGCUGAGGCCUUGCCUUGUGCGGGUCUGGCCGUGGGAAUUUAGUUAAACCUUACCAUUUAGAGGAAGGUGAAGUCGUAACA
rnacentral:rRNA from 1 species